GGCCGCCUGGCGAAAUGGCAUCGCGUCUGACUACGAUUCAUAUAAUCAUCGUUUUCGAAAUCAGGAGAUUGCAGGUUCGACCCCUGCGGUGGUCA